rnacentral:rRNA from 1 species
CGGGUGAGUAACACGUGGAUAACCUACCUAUAAGACUGGGAUAACUUCGGGAAACCGGAGCUAAUACCGGAUAAUAUUUUGAACCGCAUGGUUCAAAAGUGAAAGACGGUCUUGCUGUCACUUAUAGAUGGAUCCGCGCUGCAUUAGCUAGUUGGUAAGGUAACGGCUUACCCAGGCAACGAUGCAUAGCCGACCUGAGAGGGUGAUCGGCCACACUGGAACUGAGACACGGUCCAG